rnacentral:rRNA from 1 species
CCUACGGGUGGCUGCAGUGGGGAAUCUUGGACAAUGGGCGCAAGCCUGAUCCAGCCAUGCCGCGUGAGUGAAGAAGGCCUUCGGGUUGUAAAGCUCUUUUGUCAGGGACGAUAAUGACGGUACCUGAAGAAUAAGCCCCGGCAAACUUCGUGCCAGCAGCCGCGGUAAUACGAAGGGGGCUAGCGUUGUUCGGAAUUACUGGGCGUAAAGCGCACGUAGGCUGCUUGUUAAGUCAGGGGUGAAAUCCCGAGGCUCAGCCUCGGAACUGCCUUGGAUACUGACGAGCUCGAGGUCGGAAGAGGUUAGUGGAAUUCCCAGUGUAGAGGUGAAAUUCGUAGAUAUUGGGAAGAACACCAGUGGCGAAGGCGGCUAACUGGUCCGAUACUGACGCUGAGGUGCGAAAGCGUGGGGAGCAAACAGGAUUAGAUACCCCAGUAGUC